UACGUAGGGUGCGAGCGUUAUUCGGAAUUACUGGGCGUAAAGCGUGCGCAGGCGGUUUUGUAAGCCAGGUGUGAAAUCCCCGGGCUCAACCUGGGAAUGGCAUUUGGGACUGCAAGGCUGGAGUGUGGCAGAGGAGACUGGAAUUCCUGGUGUAGCAGUGAAAUGCGUAGAUAUCAGGAGGAAUACCGAUGGCGAAGGCAGGUCUCUGGGCUGACACUGACGCUCAUGCACGAAAGCGUGGGGAGCAAACAGG
rnacentral:rRNA from 1 species